rnacentral:rRNA from 1 species
AUGGUGGCCAUCAUAGCCGAUUAUCCUGGGCUACUCCCUGCAUCGCAUGGAAGGCCCUCGGGACGCCAUGCCGAACCCGCAGUGACUCACCAACAAGGGGCACCGAAGCCGGGUAGGCUUAAAACGAAGGCGGUCAGGACUGAGACGCCGUCGCAGAGGAAAAAUGCUCGCCGGACUAUAUCCGGAGAGGUUGCCGGUCACGCCUCCACCAGUCGGGCUCCAGAGCCGGACAUAGAGGCGGACGCUAACAUGAGGCGAACGCCGGAUGUUCCUCCUACAGAGGAUGCGAAUAGGCUAUCCGCUACAAAUUCUGAAGUGGAGAGCGCCAUGAAUCACAGGCGUCGCCGGGCCGUACUCCGUGACGCUUGUUUCUCCCAAGAGGCGUUCGAUGCCUUCAACUCAGGAGACGCGUACAUCCGAGCUGCUCAAAAUGGUCUUGCCAGAGCCACAUACCAGUAUGUAAAGGAUAUACGGGUUCUUACGGAGAAGAAUACCCGGUUGUCUCAAGAGCUGGAGGAGUGCAAAGCCCAGCUUCAGGCCGCAAUUGCCGCAGUAAAGGAGUCCGAGAAGGCCCCGCCUGAUGACUCCGGAGUGAAUCCGGAGAUCAUGAUAGGGGAUGAGCCGCAUGCUCAACGACAGCUAAAGGCUGGCGAGCGCGUGCUUACACGGGUUAGGCGGGAGAAAAACCAUCUCCAAGACGCCAAUAUCCAGCUGGGCGUGGAACUGAAAGAUGUUCGAGCCCAGCUUGCUGACUCCGUAAAGGAGAAUAAGCGGCUUCGACGCAGCAUUUUCAUUAAGUGCUUGAACGAACUUUUUAAAGAGUUCGGUGAAGAAACCGGCUAA